rnacentral:rRNA from 1 species
GACGAACGCUGGCGGCGUGCUUAACACAUGCAAGUCGAACGGAAAGACCCUGCUUUUGUGGGGUGCUCGAGUGGCGAACGGGUGAGUAACACGUGAGUAACCUGCCCUUGACUUUGGGAUAACUUCAGGAAACUGGGGCUAAUACCGGAUAGGAGCUCCUGCUGCAUGGUGGGGGUUGGAAAGUUUCGGCGGUUGGGGAUGGACUCGCGGCUUAUCAGCUUGUUGGUGGGGUAGUGGCUUACCAAGGCUUUGACGGGUAGCCGGCCUGAGAGGGUGACCGGCCAAAUUGGGACUGAGAUACGGCCCAGACUCCUACGGGAGGCAGCAGGGGGGAAUAUUGCACAAUGGGCGGAAGCCGGAUGCAGCAACGCCGCGUGCGGGAUGACGGCCUUCGGGUUGUAAACCGCUUUCGCCUGUGACGAAGCGUGAGUGACGGUAAUGGGUAAAGAAGCACCGGCUAACUACGUG